rnacentral:tRNA from 1 species
AGUGUAGCUCAGUGGUAGAACACUUGCCUAGCAUGUGUGAGGUCCUGGGUUCCAUUCCCAGCACU